CUCUGUCUUCACCCCCUCUAACGCCGUGCCAAAUCAUGCCUCUUCUUCCAAACCACAUUGCCAUCCAAACACGAAAUUUCCCUGAUCACCGUGCCCUACUCUGCAGCGCUUCUCCAGCGCAUGGAUACCCGCAGCCGCCCAUCGCAUGCCUUCCUGCCCUGACCAUUGCCAGGAAAGAAGAAAAAAAAAAAUCAUUCACUGUUAUUCUUGCCAGAUAUGUUCCCAGAUCCUGGCACAGUCUCUUAAGAAAUCAGGGCCGGGUGUGCACAUGCCAUCUGCUAGCAAGAGAGGAGCAGGGCUGCAGCAGAGACUACGAGGGAUGUGGGGGAGACAGAUGGAGAGAGAUAAGAGAAACAAGUGCGAGGGAUAGCAGAGGGGUGCAAGCCACAUGCAAGGGAUUUACAAGGGACGGAACGUACGAGGCAUGGAUGCCAGACCACGGAUGGUCUACGGUGCAAGAAUAGGAGUCGGUUGUACAUUAAUUCCCUUUUUUAAGUGGGCCUCCCCUUUAAAAUGCAAUUUUUUCUUUGCAAUUUUAAGCGCUGGUCAUCAACAGGUCUUUGAUUGGAUGUGGACUACCCCUUUAAAUGAAUACUGUAUGUUGUCAGGAACCAGCAUCUAAUAUAUAGACAAAAUGAUAAGUUGAUCACACCGAUGCUGAGGAGACCCCCAGUGAUCAGCAGCAAUCUGUUGUGGAGGAUAAUACUGGGGGUACCUGUCGGGUGGUUUCGGCCCAUCGUUGCUGUAACAGGAACCGUAUUGAGGAGCGAUCUCAGACGGUGCAGUGCUCCUGCCUGCCGGGAAAAGUGGCUGGGACAACCCGGGACAAACCUUCUUGCGUGGACGCUUCUAUCGUGAUGGGGAAGUGGUGGUGUGACAUGGAACCUUGUCUGCAGGAGGAAGAAUGUCAGACCCUUCCUGACAACUCUGGCUGGAUCUGUUUCCAGGGGGGCCGCGUAAAGACCACCAAGAUUCACCCAAGAUACUGAAUACUGGAGGAAUUAUGUCAAACUAAAAGAUGGCGGUUCUGGAAACCUUCCACCCUUGGCGCAGUCUAUGGAAGAAUGUGGCAUGGGGAAGUAGUCGCUGCUGUUUGUAUGAGGGAUAC